GCGGGUGUAGCUCAAUGGCAGAGCAGCAGCUUCCAAGCUGAAGACGAAGGUUCGAUCCCUUACGCCCGCUCCA
rnacentral:tRNA from 1 species